GGGGACUUAGCUCAGUGGUAGAGCGCUUGCCUAGCAAGCGCAAGGCCCUGGAUUCAGUCCUCA
rnacentral:tRNA from 1 species